rnacentral:rRNA from 1 species
UGGGGAAUUUUGCGCAAUGGGCGAAAGCCUGACGCAGUAACGCCGCGUGGAGGAUGAAGGCCUUCGGGUUGUAAACUCCUGUCAGGGGGAACGACGGAGCGAGGAGGAUAAAUCCUUGCUUCCAGACGGUACCUCCAAAGGAAGCCCCGGCUAAUUCCGUGCCAGCAGCCGCGGUAAUACGGAAGGGGCAAGCGUUGUUCGGAAUCAUUGGGCGUAAAGGGCGCGUAGGUGGUUCUGUAUGUCUAUCGUGAAAGCGUACGGCUCAACCGUAUUUUGUCGGUAGAAACUGCAGGACUUGAGGCUGGGAGGGGCUGGUGGAAUUCCCUGUGUAGCGGUGAAAUGCGUAGAGAUGGGGGAGAACACUCGUGGCGAAGGCGGCCAGCUAGACCAGUUCUGACACUGAGGCGCGACAGCGUGGGGAGCAAACA